UACAGAGGGGCGAGCGUUAUUCGGAAUUGAUUGGCGUAAAGGGCGCGUAGGCGGCUUUUCAAGUGACGGGUGAAAUCCCCGGGCUCAACCUGGGAACUGCAUUUGUGACUGCACGGCUGGAGUGCGGCAGAGGGGGAUGGAAUUCCGCGUGUAGCAGUGAAAUGCGUAGAUAUGCGGAGGAACACCGAUGGCGAAGGCAAUCCCCUGGGCCUGCACUGACGCUCGAUGCAC
rnacentral:rRNA from 1 species